CCUACGGGAGGCAGCAGUGAGGAAUAUUGGUCAAUGGGCGGAAGCCUGAACCAGCCAAGUAGCGUGCAGGAUGACGGCCCUACGGGUUGUAAACUGCUUUUAUACGGGAAUAACGCGCCUUACGUGUAGGGCUUUGCAUGUACCGUAUGAAUAAGGACCGGCUAAUUCCGUGCCAGCAGCCGCGGUAAUACGGAAGGUCCGGGCGUUAUCCGGAUUUAUUGGGUUUAAAGGGAGCGUAGGCCGCAUGUCAAGCGUGCUGUGAAAUGUCCGGGCUCAACCCGGGCCUUGCAGCGCGAACUGGCGAGCUUGAGUGCGCUGAAAGCAGGCGGAAUUCGUCGUGUAGCGGUGAAAUGCUUAGAUAUGACGAAGAACCCCGAUUGCGAAGGCAGCUUGCUGCAGCGGAACUGACGCUGAUGCUCGAAAGCGCGGGUAUCGAACAGGAUUAGAUACCCCUGUAGUC
rnacentral:rRNA from 1 species